rnacentral:rRNA from 1 species
GACGAACGCUGGCGGCGUGCUUAACACAUGCAAGUCGAACGAAGUGGCGAACGGGUGAGUAACGCGUAAUCAACCUGCCCUUCAGCGGGUGACAACAGUUGGAAACGACUGCUAAUACCGCAUACUGAAGGAGGGGAUUGCGUCUGAUUAGCUAGUUGGAGGGGUAACGGCCCACCAAGGCGAUGAUCAGUAGGCGGUCUGAGAGGGUGAACGGCCAAAACGGGACUGGGGAACGGCCCAGGCUCCUACGGGAGGGAGCAGUGGGGAAUCUUCCGCAAAGGAAGAAAGGCUGACGGAGCAACGCCGCGGGGGUGAUGACGGGCUUCGGGUUGUAAAGCUCUGUUAAUCGGGACGCGGUACCGGAAUAGAAAGCCACGGCUAACUACGUGCCAGCAGCCGCGGUAAUAC